AGGAAAUAAGGUUCGGUUGGAGAACCUAAAGAAAAACCCAGAGGUUUUUCAUCCCACCCACAUGCCAUUGUUGAAAUUUAAGGAGAGUUUCGUGGUUUGGCUAAAGAUUUCAAGCAAAAGAAUACCUUAUGGGUGCUAAGAAAACCAUGCAUGUUGGUGAAUCACAAAGAAUGUGAGAUUUUGCUACCAAGGAGCUUGAGAUUUCUUGGUUUUAGAUCAAGUUGAAUUGUCAAGGAAAGAUAAGUAAUCAGUUCGAGUGCAUCGCUCAGCACAGCGAGACUUACUGCAACAUAGGUAAUGGCAUCUCUUAGACUUCCACUCCAAGUCGCCCCGCUGCAUAGAGGUCGUGUAAUGCAAAUAGCUAGACUUGUAAAAUAGUUAAUCCAACGUAUAUGUGUUUGCUAAAGACUUUGUGGUUGUGUAAUGAACAUUAAGUGUGUUGUUAAAU